rnacentral:rRNA from 1 species
UUUAAGGUCUGACCUGCCCAAUGAUUAUUUAAAUGGCCGCGGUACUUUGACCGUGCAAAGGUAGCAUAAUAAUUAGUUUCUUAAUUGGAAGCUGGAAUGAACGGUUGGACGAGAGGGCUACUGUCUCAGAUUAAUUUUAUUUUAGAAUUUUAUUUUUGAGUUAAAAAGCUCAAAUUUAUUUAAAAGACGAGAAGACCCUAUAGAGUUUUAUAAUAAUAAAUUUUGUAGAUUUUUAGAAUUUAAUUUUGUAUUAUUUUUAUUAUUAUUUUGUUGGGGUGAUGGGAAAAUUGAAUUAACUUUUCUUUUAUUUUUUCAUUAAUUUAUGUUUUUUUGAUCCAUUGUUUAUGAUUAAAAGAUUAAAUUACCUUAGGGAUAACAGCGUAAUUUUUUUUUAGAGUUCUUAUCGAAAGAAGAGUUUGCGACCUCGAUGUUGGAUUAAAAUUUAUGUUAGGUGUAGGGGCUUAAUAAUUAGGUCUGUUCGACCUUUAGAAUUUUACA